GACGAACGCUGGCGGCGUGCUUAACACAUGCAAGUCGAGCGGUAAGGCCUUUCGGGGUCCACGAGCGGCGAACGGGCGAGUAACACGUGGGUGAUCUGCCCUGCACUUCGGGAUAAGCCUGGGAAACUGGGUCUAAUACCGGAUAUGACCUCCUAUCGCAUGGUGGGUGGUGGAAAGAUUUAUCGGUGCAGGAUGGGCCCGCGGCCUAUCAGCUCGUUGGUGGGGUAAUGGCCUACCAAGGCGACGACGGGUAGCCGACCUGAGAGGGUGACCGGCCACAAUGGGACUGAGACACGGCCCAGACUCCUACGGGAGGCAGCAGUGGAGAAUAUUGCACAAUGAGCGAAAGCCUGAUGCAGAGACGCCGCGUGAGGGAUGACGGCCUUCGGGUUGUAAACCUCUGUCAGCAGGGACGAAGCGCAAGUGACAGUACCUGCAGAAGAAGCACCGGCUAACUACGUG
rnacentral:rRNA from 1 species